CCUACGGGUGGCUGCAGUGAGGAAUAUUGGUCAAUGGACGAGAGUCUGAACCAGCCAAGUAGCGUGAAGGAUGACUGCCCUAUGGGUUGUAAACUUCUUUUAUAUGGGAAUAAAACGUUCCACGUGUGGGAUUUUGUAUGUACCAUAUGAAUAAGGAUCGGCUAACUCCGUGCCAGCAGCCGCGGUAAUACGGAGGAUCCGAGCGUUAUCCGGAUUUAUUGGGUUUAAAGGGAGCGUAGGUGGACUGUUAAGUCAGUUGUGAAAGUUUGCGGCUCAACCGUAAAAUUGCAGUUGAAACUGGCAGUCUUGAGUACAGUAGAGGUGGGCGGAAUUCGUGGUGUAGCGGUGAAAUGCUUAGAUAUCACGAAGAACUCCGAUUGCGAAGGCAGUUCACUGGACUGCAACUGACACUGAGGCUCGAAAGUGUGGGUAUCAAACAGGAUUAGAUACCCUUGUAGUC
rnacentral:rRNA from 1 species